CGCGAAGGAAAAAACCACCGCGCUCGACGUGCAGGCCCCGCACCCGUCCGCUUUCUCCUCCAGCGAAUCGAGCGGGCAGCGAGCGACAGCAAAAGGAACGCUCCCCACGCGCAUGAACCCUAGCCGCCGCUCUCCUCUCCCAUGACCCGCAACCACCACCGCUCCUCUCUCCUCUGCCUCGACUCCCAACCAUCCAACCCAAACUCCGGCGGCCUCCUAUCCCUCCAGCGCCGCCGCUCCAGCCACACCUUCCUUCCUCUCCAAAGGAAGGGAAGGGAAGUGAAGGGGAGGGGAGGCCCCAGAUCGAGCGGAGCGACGCCCAGAUCCGCAGCGGCACCGGCACCAGCGCGCCGUCGUCCACCUGGUCCUCGAGGAAGGCCAUGGAUGGGGGCAGAACCCUAGCCCCACACCCAUCCAUCACGGCGGUGGCCUUCUCUCGGUGGGGUGGGGAGCGAAGUUUUCUGAUGUGGUGGCCCUCGACGCCUGCGACGGGCUGCAGCACCUUGGCUUCAAAGGUAGGCCAUCACAAUGGAAACAGAAGGAUGAGCACCAUGGCGGGCGUGCAGGUGCAGGCCAUCGCCAUCGCCAAGUCCCCUAGAUUGACAAGCGGACGGCCGGAUCCAAGACCAAGCACCCCGGUGGGCUUCCUGCUCAGGCUCCUCAACGCCACGACGGCUGCGGGAUCCACGACCAUGGCUGCACGAGCGCCCAGAUGCAGGGCGGUUCCGAACCCAAAGCGCAGUUUGCAGGCAGUACGAGGGCAGUUCAUGAAUAUACUUGUGCGCUUUUACUCUCAGGCAAAUCACUAAUCAUUCAAAAGGCUUAUUAGUGUUGAUUUUGGAAAGUUAUUGGGAUACACAAGAACUAGCAAUACCACAUAAAAAAGAGUGUGGAAUUGGACAUUUUUAAAUCUGGAUAGUUGUUGUAGUGCCUGAUUAUGCCAACAAGAAGAAAAAAAUAGCAGAAUAAUUGUUUGUAGGGAUACUUAGAUCUUUCUGCUAUCAUGGUUAUCAAAAUAGGAUUUUUUUAAUGUACACUAUAUAGUACAAAAGGUUGUUUAUCAUAUACUGCAAAUCAUUAGUUUUACGCCAGUCUAUUACAUCAGUCUUAUCUUGAUUGAUAGGAAUUCAACAUAUUGAACCUUCAAGAUGGCUUGAAAUGGGCCUGGACAAUGUUUUGUUGACCAGCAAGGUUAUGUUUCCUCUGAUUGGCUUGCUUGAUUAGGUCUUUGUACAUAUUCCAUGAACUCCUGCGUUUGUGCCGUCAGGUUGGCUGUCUAUAAUUUUUGGGGUUCGCCUGACAUACGGUCGUCAUCGCCUUGCCGUGGCUCCACCAAGCGAUCUUUCCUCGCCAAUGCAGUCAGCUGGGCGAUACUGAUGGAUUGAUUUGAAUUUGGAUGAUUCUAUUGAGUCGGUGUGCAACAAUGCAAAUCAGAUUCAUCAUCUACAAGAGUCGGUGUCCAACCAUGUCCUCCUAUAGAGCUCAUGUUCCUAUGCUUGCGUAGAAGAUUAUGAUAUGGAAGUACUCUUGACUUUCCAUGAUUUUGGUACUGGAUUAUUGGUCACACAUAUGAGAGUUGUGAACCGGGGACGAUCAUGUAUUUCAUAAGCGAGCAAGGGUCCUGGGUACCUGCAUGAUUAAGGAAGAAAUUGGUUAUUACUAAAUGUGCUAUUGCAUAUCAAAGGUACAUAUUGAAGGAUGUUCUGAGGCUAGCACCUGGUUUAGAAGUUUUGCAAUUCACAGCAAUACCUCAUAAUUUUGAUUUGAUGUCCAGAAUGUCAAUUGAAGAAUGAGCCUACAAACUACAUUGUAGUUUGUAAUAUAUCCUUAUAUAUGGUGCUUGUGUUUUUUUUUCAAUUAUAAGUUUACAUUUAUGGGUAUUACAAAGUCCCCCUUUCUUUUUCCACAAGGGGCAGUAGCUGUGCCAUUCGAUUCGAAGGACAAAGAGUUGAUCACAACGGGGUAGCAUUCAGGAUAUAUACACAAGAGUAUAGAACCAAAUUAUAUGAUGUAAUUGACCACUAUUUCUAUUAACUUUUCUUGUACACAAUGUUACAA
rnacentral:rRNA from 1 species